CCUGGUCACCAGCAGGUUUAUCUGAGAAAACCUCCAGUUUCUCUCUGUCUCCGCCCUCUUUCAGCCACACACUGUUUCAUUUCCUCAUUCAUUCAGUCAGUAAGCGAGCGAGUUUUGGCGUAGAACAGCUUUUAUUAACGAUCCAGUGGAUAAAGGAGCAGCAUUACUGCACAGAUCAUUAAAUAUUCGUCGGUAGAUUGUUAUCAGACCGAGCAUAAAUGUUCUCGCAUUUCCGGACAGUUAUCGGUUUGAGCGGUACCGUUUCAUAAUCGUUUCAAGUCCAUAAUCUACAUAAACAACCUAAUCCGUCCUUACAUUUACAUUACCAACCAGUCAUGCUCUCACAUCCAGCAGAUAUUGUGUGUUGCUGCGGUUCUUUGCAAAUUAAAGUUUUUAUAUGAUGUCAGAGAUGCAGAGUAAGACAACUGUAUGGAGGACAGUCAGAAAAGUUUUCCUGGCUCUGAAACGACUUUAACUCAUCAUUGUGGACAUAAACCUGUCAGAACAUCAAGGAGGAUCCACAGGAUUGCAGGAUUUCCCAGUGUGAUUGGCUGCAUAGAUGCACACACAUCCCCAUCACAGCUCCCUCACAUCAUGAACAGGAAGUCCAUUCACAGCAUAAAUGUGCAGGUAGGCUACAGGUAGACUGACUACUGUUUCUAAAUGUUAAAGACUGCAUCAUAGUUCAACAUCUGUCAUUCUCUGCACUGUCCAGAUCAGAUGUGAUGCUGCAUACAUCAUUUCUAAUGUGGAGGCCACGUGGUCUGGGUCUGUUCAUGACUCCAGGAUUUAUGGAGAGUCUAACCUGAGCAACAGACUGCAGCGUGGUCAGCAGCAUAAAGAUUUUCACAAUAGAAUUCUCUUGUCUCCCUCCUUUAAUAUACUCUGAUGUAUCCACUAUACAUUACAGGAGAGUUUGAUGGCCUUCUGCUGGGUGACAGGGGUUACCAUGACAACCCAGGCUGAUGACCUCAUACCCUGACCCUGAACCAGGCCCCCAACAGAACUUCAACCGGACUCACUGCAGGACCAGAGCCCGGGUGGAGAUGACCAUAGGCCUGCUGAAAGCCCGUUUCCAGAGCCUACGUCUCCUCAGGGUGACCCCUGAGAGGGCCUGUGAUAUUACUGUGGCAUGUGUUGUUCUUCAUAAUAUUACCACUAUUAGAGGAGAGCAACACCCUGCCCUACAAACUGAAGACCCAGAUGAUGAGCCCAUCCACCUGCAGCUAUCCAGGACAGCAGAGCAGUCAGAGACACUGUAUGCAAGAAUCACUUUAGAGUUUAAGUCACCAUCAUCACCACCACAGCAAAUAAAGACAUGAUACACAUUUCAUUUGCUCUUCUUUAUUUCCUACAAAUAAACAGUUCAGUUCAUGUUCCAGUAGUUAAAGGGAUAGUUCAGGAUUUCUGACAUGAAUCUGUAUGGCAUCCCCGUCAGCACUGUUGUUCAUUCACACAGACUUACUGCCAACAGCGUCCGGUGAGCAGAGAUCCGGUCUGGUUUUGGUCCAGAUGAAAGAAGUCCGGCCAGUUUGCUGGGGUCACGAAAAUAAAGAGUUUUCUUCUCAAACCAAUAUGUGUUCUAAAGAGUGAUAUAUUUGCAUUACAAAACCGUUGUCCACGAAAAAGUCAGACCUCGUAAACGCUUGGCACUAUUUUCUCUCCCUUCAUAUCACUCCGCACAGGUUUCACUUUGUUUACUGCUCGUAAAGUUAACAACAACAACAUGUCUGACUAGGACAGCAACGAUGAAUAUACUGACUUCAGCAUUCAGCCAAGGGGAUAUCUUUAUGAACCCGAAUAUACUGAAGCCGAAAUUCACCAGAUGGAGUUAGAACGGGCAGAGAGAGAGAGAGAGACGGUGGACAGAGAAGUGGAUCACUUGUACAGUAUAAAGUUAUAAAAUUCAACCAAAAACUGAGGAGGCAACACUUACUCUGAAGACAGCUGACCCUCAGGUCCAGCUGGUCUGGGACGCUUCUUCCAGUUUAUUUUAGGGAUGUGGAAAAAGGUCUGCAACACACCCUCAUUCAGGAGUGCAGCGAAGUCAUUAUGAUGUGUGAUGCAGACAGAAGCUGGGAAGCUGUCCUCAUCAAUUGAAAGGUCUUGUAUCUGUGACAUGAUGAGAUCAUAUUCGUGGCAGCAACAGGACUCCACCUCUGUUGGGAUUAUUUCGCACUUGAAACAAGUACAGCACCAUUUAUCAGUCACCCGGUGUCUCACAGCUCCAGCUGUGGCUCCAACUUCAACUUGUUCCACUUCUCUGUCCAGGGUUAGGGUUAGUAUUGAGUGCAUAAGUGAACAUAAUUAUUUGAAGGUUGACUUUUUUUGUAUUAAAAACACUUUUCUUUUAUUGGUCGGAUGGAAUAUGCUAAUUUUUGGAGAUAGGGAUUUUUGUUUUUUCUUUACUUUUUGGCCAAUAUCAUCAAUAUUAAAACAAUAAAAGGCUUGAACUAC